UACAGAGGUCUCAAGCGUUGUUCGGAUUCAUUGGGCGUAAAGGGUGCGUAGGUGGCGCGCUAAGUCAGGUGUGAAAUUUCGGAGCUUAACUCCGAAACUGCAUUUGAUACUGGCGUGCUUGAGGACUGGAGAGGAGACUGGAAUUUAUGGUGUAGCAGUGAAAUGCGUAGAGAUCAUGAGGAAGACCAGUGGCGAAGGCGGGUCUCUGGACAGUUCCUGACACUGAGGCACGAAGGCCAGGGGAGCAAACGGG
rnacentral:rRNA from 1 species